CAAAAACUAAUAAUAAUAAUAGUAAUAAUAAAACAGUGAUUUGCUGAAUGAAUGACAGAAGGAAGGCAUGAGUCUUCAGACCGAAAGGCUUAAGGGUGCCAACAACAUUAAAAUUUGGCUUAAUCACUUUGGAAAACUCUUCAGUAAUAUCUAUGAAAGCUGCGCAUGCCAGGGUCUAUACCCAGGAGUAGUGAACAUGUGUGGCCACCAAAUACAUGUGCGAGAAUAGUCCUGGCAGCUUUAUUAGUAAAAGCCAAAGCUGGAGGUAACUCCAAUGUCCAACAACAACAAAAAACGAAGAAUGGAUAAGCCGCUUAUGCUAUCUCCUUACACUGCAAUGGUGGGUGGUAAUAAAAAAUGAAUUACUGCCACCCACAGAACAUUUUUAUUUUCUGUGUCUGAUGCUUUUAUUUUCUGUGUCCUGGGGCCUAGCUGACCCUAGAGAGGCUGCCCCUCCUAGGACUAGAGAUUCCUUCUCAGAUGCCAGUGACCACCUCACAGCCCACAGCCCACUACCUCCUCUGUCUCUCACACUCAGGGCCAAUAUUCCCCUGCCCUGAUCACACCAGGGCCAGGUAUCAGACAACUCCGGACAGCCCCUCUGUCCCAGAGCCCUGAAAUUACUCAAACCAGCCAGUCCAAAGCCUGCUCACCCUGCCUUGACUGUUUCUUCCCACAGAAACCCCAAUAAAGGCUCUUGCUCACGUUUCCCUCUCCUCCCCCUGACUUCAGCAGACCCCAGCGUUCGCCCGUGUGUCCCCGACCCGCGCCGUGUGGCGCAGCCCCUGCUCUUGAGAACUGUGAGUGACAAACCAUCUUUUCAACGGCAACAUCCCCUGAUUUGUGGGCCUCACUACACCUGCCUGCAUUUCAAGCAGUGGGCGCAGCUAGCAGGGUGGAGUGAGGCGCCACUGCGCUGCUCUCGGUAACUGGUUCCACCGGGCGGCCGCGGACGGGCGGUGCCCCCGCCUGCGCCGCCUGGUGCUGCUGCUGUGGACGCCUCUCCGCUCCGAACUCAGGACCUGGGUCCUCUGAGCUCUGAUCUGAGCUGUGCCUGCCUCCUUCCGGGCUGGCUGGCCAGGUUCCCCAAGGCUCCUCCAAAGGGAGCCACGGGAGGGACUUCCUCCUAGUGUUUGGGGGUGCCCCGCAGGCGGCCCUGCUAAGUGGGGGCAAACAGAGCUGCUGUUUGGGGGGCUUUUCAGCCUGUCUGGGGGAGUGGGGGGAGCCUGCC
rnacentral:lncRNA from 10 species